CUUGACGUCUCUCUUUCCAUUGACUUUUGAAGCAACUGUUGGAGUUCUAACAUGUUCCAUGAAGAAUCUGUCUCCUACCAACCAAAUCAAUUCACUAACUUUAACCAUGUGAUAAAUCUAAAGAUAGAGACAAUUUUAAGAUGACUCUAAAGAGAAAAUGUGAAUGAAUGCAUGUUUCUAGCAAUAAAACAGAACAAAUGGUGUAAUAAGGACAGCAAAUCUCAGACAUGUGGAUGAUGGAAAUACUGCACGUUUGUUUCAUUUACUACCAUUUUAAGUGCACAGCAGUAUCCAACUUGUGGGUGGUUUUGAUCCACAUCUGUAUCAUUUAUGUUUUUAUGUCAUAUUUAUGUGAUCAUUUGACUUUUUGACAUCACAACGAUGACAGUCUUGGCCUCAUUUUAACCCAAACUCAAAGGUUAAAGUGCUUAUUUUACCCAAAACAACAAACCUUAAAGCUUAAUGUUAGUGAUUUGUUAGCUGCAGCACAGAGAAACAGUCACUGCUACAAAUUAUGUCACAUUGUUCAGGAUGAAAAAUGUGCCUUUUUCAGGGCUUUGUUCAUGCCUUCAUCAAUACCAAUUUGUUGAUGAACCCAAGACUUGGGGUGAAGCCCAACAGUACUGCAGAGAAAAGUUCACCGAGCUGGCUACUGUGGACAACAAGGAAGACGUGGCUCAACUGAUUGCUGCUGCUGGCAGUGGCUACAGUGGAAAAGUAUGGAUUGGCCUGUAUGACAAUUCUAGCAGCUGGGCGUGGUCGAUGAGAGAUGAUGGCUACUAUGGAAACAACAAUGAGUCCAUCAGGUGGUACCCUGGUCAACCAAAUCGUAGCAGAGAACGGUCGAAGCUAUGCGGUACUGUAUAUAAAGGUCGAUUGGUUGAUGUGUUUUGCUCCAACAUGCGUCCCUUUCUCUGCUAUGACAAUUCAAACGGUGAGCAAAACAUUGCUUGUUGUGGUUUCUGUGAUCCAAUAAUACGUAGUGCGUUUUCCAGACUGUGGUACAAUUAUUACUUCAAGUGUUUGUAUAGACCCCAAAACAGAAAAUGAACGGUGGCUUUGACUGUUUCAUUUGUCUUGCAAAGAUAUAACUCAGACGUGAAAAUUUGACACUUUUAUUCAUUUGUUUUCAUACAUAUUGGACUUUUUAACACUGUUGGUCAGAAUCAGUUGCUUUUGUGGUCAAAUUAGUCUGACCUAACUUCCAAAAUUCUUGCCAGCUUCUUCUCCCCCAAGCUAUGUCUUUAAGAACUGGACGAACCUGACAUGGGAGGAAGCUCAGAGCUACUGCAUGGAGUUCCACACAGACCUGGCCUCCGUAAGGAAUGAAGAAGAGAGUACACUGAUCCAGCAGAUCGUAAAAGGAAUAAAGUAUGUUUUCGUUGGCUUGUCCAGAAAACCCUGGCCCUCUUGGUCAGAUGGCACAGAGCACAAAUUCAAAAACUGGCUGAUCAGACACCCAUCAUCUGAAGAAACUGGAGACUGCGCUACCAGUUUGAUCGGUGCUACUGACGCUGGAAAGUGGGUCGAAGAUCAUUGUGACCGAAAACUUCCUUUCAUGUGCCACUACGAGAAAAAGCAGCAGCUUCGGAUCAAACUGAGGGCACUGAAUCCCACAGUCGACCUGAAUGACCCCGCUGUGAUGGAGGCCAUCCUGAAACUGCUGGAGGAGAAGAUGAAAGAGAAGGGGAUCAUAGCAGGUUUCAAACUUAGAUGGGUCAAGAAGUCUGACAACACCGUCUUCCACGAAGAAAAGAAUGAACUGUAAACUGUAUUUAUAGGAUAUUUUGCCAUUUAUUUUACUUUGAAGGUUUACGCUUUAGUUUGACAUGAGUUUCGAGUCAACUAAUGAACAUCAAAUUCUCAUGUGAGACAUUUAUUAUUUUGGAGUAGAGCAGAGCAAAUUGUUCAUCAAACUGCACAAACAUGUUAUUUAUCCUGUUGCUGUGUUGCUAAAUUAAUCGUAGGGCAGAUUUACAUGUGAAAUUCUACACAUUUAAGCUCUGAAAACUUUCUCAUGUGAAAAUGUAAUGAAUUGCAGAGACAUUAGCAUAUCCCUGUAAAGCUGGAUUCAUUUAUAAAGCGUGUUGUAUUUUUAAGAGUGAUGUGUGAUGUAUUAGGAUUUAAUAUUGUAGCUUUGUAAGAAUAUCCCUGAGGUCAAGAGAGUUGUGAAGGAAAAAUGACUCUUUCCCCUUUCUAAGGUCAUAAUGGCCUUUAGACAGGUAGACGCUGCAGGUUUGAUAAUGUUUAUUCUGACAUAACUAAGCAGACUAGUCUCCAUCUUGGUCUGUAGUCUAAAUCUGACCUUCUCCAACUACAAUAUAAACCCAAAGAUCAGAGAGAAUCCUCAGAACUGAUGCUGGCAUUGAUUGCUGUUAUGUUGGUGUCACUUCUCCUGAUAUCAGUAGACAUUACUCACAACCUAAGUCAUCUGAGCCUCCAGCGUGUCUGUUUGUAUCUGCCUCAACAUCGCUGAACUUCCACAUCAAGAGUCAAAUGAAUAUUUUUCGUUGUGUGGUUUUUACAUAUCUACAGAGCUGUAGCUUACUAGUAUCUGUUCUUUGUGUCAAAACUUGCAACUGUAAUCACUGUACCGAUUUAUGUUC